rnacentral:rRNA from 1 species
GACGGAGGAUGCAAGUCUUAUCCGGAAUCACUGGGCGUAAAGCGUCUGUAGGUGGUUUAAUAAGUCAACUGUUAAAUCUUGAAGCUCAACUUCAAAAUCGGAGUCGAAACUAUUAGACUAGAGUAUAGCUGGGGUAAAGGGAAUUUCCAGUGUAGCGGUGAAAUGCGUAGAGAUUGGAAAGAACACCGAUGGCGAAGGCACUUUUCUGGGCUAUUACUGACACUCAGAGACGAAAGCUAGGGUAGCAAAUGGG